UGGGUUUAGGGUAUAAUAAAUCAAAAAAAAAAAUUUUUGUUUUCUCUAUAAGACUCGAACUAGUAAUGUGUUUCUUAACCGAUCUUAAUAAAAGUUUCAACAGUAGAUCAUAUUGAACUAUAGAUUAAUCGUGUAUUCUCAAACAGACAAUUGCAUUUUAAUUGUGGCUGAAAUAGGUGGCCAACAGAAAUUGUGAGCCAGCUUCCAUGUCCGCAAUAGAGUUGAGCUUGCACCUCGUGUGGGAUAAUAUAUUUCGCGCAGUUCCAAGAAGAUUUGGCUGAUAUAACAAAGUGUCAUCAUCAUAGGCCAAGUAAUCGAACUGUAGUUCGUCGGCCUCGCCAACCCAGCCGGACUGCGGAGUACUACUUGUUAACCACUCCCAGUUUUAAAGUAUGGGCGUCCUCAGCCCUGACUAAUAUUGCACAUGCUUCCCGUUUUUUUUCCCAUGCGCUCCCAGGGGAACAUUGAGCCAGUGAUGAACACGCAGAUUCCUAUUCCAACGAAGAAUUCCAUCGCUGCUGGGCUACUAAAGGUAGAAAACGGUCGGCCUUGGCCGGUGUAGAACUGGGAGGGUCAGCGAUGUGGAUGCGAUUUCGCGGAAUUUGCUUACGACAUUGUCGAACUUGGAAUUUAACAAGACUGUGUUGUCGAAUAUGACGAGAGAAGUGCCCGCCACAGCUAACUUUGGGCCAUCGUCGACGCUCACCUUAAACGGGCGAUUGUUGAAGAUGAUCAUCCCGUCUUCGACAAUCGUUAUGGGUUCCAGAUGGGAGCGCAGGUGUCGCGUGUCGCAAGUUCACUAAACGUUUUAUAUGUUGUAAGGAUACAAUUUGUGACUGCUAGGGUAUUACCACCAACACAUUCCGCUAUGAUUCAGUCCGACAUUUGCAAGACUGUGAUUAUGUUCUUAGAGGAAUAUUUGGAUUUGUUUGCAUAUAAACUUCACUUUAGGGUUUUUCCUAAUGCGGUGCUAUCGGUCUGUAAAAUAUGAUUAUAAUAUUACAAACCUGUCUCAAGCUAGUAACCACGACAUCUGUGAGCUAUUCUUUUAGAAUAGACUUUCAAUUAGCGUGAUAUGAAAUGGUUGGAUUUAUUAUCUUCGCUUUAGCUAUAGUUACAAGUACACCAUGUAUUCGUACACCAUGUGUUCGAUAUCUAUUUCUAAGAGCUUUCGCAUGUUACCCUGUGGAAACAUGUCUGACAUUCGCAGAGUCUCAUGCACUAAACGUAUGAAACCUGAGAUAGUUGCUGAGUGCCAGAAAGGAUAACUUCUCAAAUUAUUAUAAAAACUAGACUUAUGUCACCUCCGGCGUUUAGUUCAAGUUGACAUUGUGGACCACCGUCCCUUUAAUUAAUACUCUGGUCCCUAAGCCUGACCCGCCUUUUUUACCCGCACAAGGGGGCUAGCUUAUUGGCGAGUCUAUUGGUAAUGCUAAAUAGGAACCAUGUCUCCUAAUUCAAAUAUUCUGUUCUGCCUUGUACGGGUUUCUUUACACUGCUGUACGUUUUGUGCCUUUUGAAUGCAGGCUGGAAUCCGUUUCUACCCUCUUUUUGAAAAAAUAUCUAGACGCAUUUUUAAUUCCACAAUGCCGGGACGCAAUCUGUGGAACUACGGCGAAUUUAGAAAAUUUGUCAACGCAUGUCAGAAAUAACUUCAUAUUGGUUAAGAAAAUAUCGAUAUGAAUUUUAUACCAGUGAAGUGGGAUCGGUGUUUCGCCAAGCUCUUGUUUUAGAAAAAAAAGUAAUCGGACACGACCUGUUUUACAAGCACUUUUAGAAGAAAAGGGCUUCUACAAUUUUUCGAUUUCUGCAAAAAUGUAUCGGCAUUUCCGUACUGUUGGCCGUGUAGGUCAGGGACCGCUCACUGUGGAUAGUGAAUGCAUCGGACGCGUAAUACUGGUCUUCUAACGCGCUAAUGUUUUGUUGCCACAAGGCAUCAGCGGCAUGAUUUUUCUUGCCGGGCUUGUAUAAAAUCAAAUCAUUGAACUUAUUAAUAUGAGCUUUUCAACUCUUAAUUUUUGCGUUGGAGGUAUUUUCUAAGACAGCCAUUGUUAAGGGUUGGUAGUCAGUGUAAAUGUUUAUAUCGUUUACUCCGUGUAGGUUAUGACGGAGUUUACCUAAGGCCCAAACGAUAGCUAACUGCCCUCUCUCAUUUGUUGCGUAAUUUGUUUCGCUGUCCCUUAUAGUUCUAGAAAUUAUAUUUAUUAUUUUGCUCUUAUCCCAUAGUUUUAAUACAGUUUGAGGUAUGUGAACAUGACGUUUUCAAAGGCAGAAUGCGUGAACUUGUGGUUCAUUGAAUAUCACCAUUUUGUAAGAUCGGUGUUUACUAGCUCAGCCGUUUUCAGCCUAGAGGAUAACGAAGUCUCUCACAAAACUUCUGUGAAAACUAGCAAAGCCCAAAAAUGAUCUGAGCUCGAACAAACUUUUUAAAUCAACAUACUCUUUUAUGGCCUUGACAUUUUCCCGGUCCGUUCUUGUGCCUUCGUCAGUCAUAAAAAAAAAGCUAGAAAUCCAACUUCCUUUUUAGAAAACUUUGACUUUUCUUAAACCAUCUCAUGUUUGCAUCGAUCAGGAUUUUUUAGGUUUUGAAAGAAUAUAAUCACAUAAACAUAGCAUGUCUUGCCGAUUUGUUCGCUCAGAACGUCAUCAAUGGCCCUCUGAAAUAUCCUUCCUACGUUUUUAGUCUAAAUGACAGUCGACAGAACUUAUACUUCCCUCGGUUAACGGAGAAUUAAGCCUCUUCUCAAUCGCAUUCUGCAGCAUGAUUUGAUGCUAGCUAGCUUUGGCUCUCCCAAGAUUUGCUAAAAUCAUGGAAAUAUUUGGCAGCGGGUACUUCUCUGGAAUAGUAUUUUCGUUUAGUUUACGAGAGUCAUCUGUUUCCUUUUUGUCGACCAAUAUUAGAUAAUUAUAUGGCGAACGUGUCUCUCUGAUAAUGCUGUUCAUUAAAAUGUUUUUUAUUUCAUGAGUCACUCUCAUUGAGUAGGGAUAAAGCUUUGAAUAUUUGGGCUGGUUAUGAGUUGUGCGGAUUGUGGUCACUACAGAUGUGUUAUAUGGCAGUAUAUUGUUAGAAUCCGAGAAAGCUUUAGCAUUGUGGCCUGUUUUAUUUCUAGCUACAUUUUUUUUUCUAUAUUAUUUGCUGUUACUUUUCUAGCAAAAAUCAUAAAAAUGAGGAUCAAGAUUUCUAAAUCUAUGGUAUUGUAUCUUUUGUUGCCACUCUGAUAAAAGUUGCUACCAUAGAGUAACAGGGUAUCAGAUUUCGAAAUAGGCAAAA